GCUGAUACACUUCAAGGAAGUAAAAUGUGGAACUGCAUCUAACGGACAAAAGAAAUCUCUCACACAAGGGGAGCUUUCAGGUCACUGCUACAGUCCUGCUACAGACAGAUAGAAGAACUUUGUCAAACUCAGCUCUUUGACACAUUGGGACAUAACUAAGUCUGCUGGGUAAUGGCUGCUCUCAGGGUUUUUCUCCCUUUCGCCAUCUGCCUCCUGCUGGGGCAUCAGACGUUCGCCCAAAAUGACGCUCCCUGCCAGAAGUCCAAGUGGAACAACGCCUUCAACACCUUCAAAUAUCGUCACAUUCUCAAUAAGUUGCCCAACUCUCUCCAGAAGGAAAAAUGGAAUGAGCUCAUCAAGAAAGACAACAACUGUAGCAGAACCAGGCAGUCUUUCCUUGGUCUUGACAUGCUGGACAAGGUGAAGGCCGUGUGCACGAAGGAAGGCGGGAAGAUCUAUGAGAAGAACAUGUGCAUCAGCAACCAGAUUUUCACUUUUUAUACAGUGAUCAUCCAGGAAGUUACCUGCAAAAUCUUGAAGCAGCUGAAGACACACCAGACGUCUUUCUAUGAUGAAGAUGAAACCUGGUUUGGAAAGUUCCUCCCACCACAGCUGUAGAAGUUCCCACAAACGUGUUGCACCUGCUUCUUUGCUUUCACCUUUUGUCCAGUUCAUCCUUUGGUAGGUUCAUUGCUCACCUUUCUGCCUUUUAAGGUUAUCUGGUGAACUUAAAGGGAUAGUUCACCAAAAAACUAAAAUUCACUCAUUAUCUACUCACCACUAUGCUGAUGGAGGGGUGGGCGACGUGUUGAGUCCACAGAGCACUGCUGGAGUUUCAGGGGUAAACAUUGUUGCAGCCAAUUCCGGUUUAAUUGAUUUAAAUGGAACCAUUUCCUCAGAUGUAAAAAAGACAACACAAAAAAACAUAAAAUGCCUCCAUGUUGCUCGUGUGGUGUCAUCCAAGUGUCUGCAAGCCCCGACAUUCUUAUUCUCCUCGGAGGCCUGUUAAUGUUCGCACAGUCACAACGGAAAACCACACACCCUCUCGGCCAAGGGUUCCUGCGAUGUGUGCGUUGGUGUGGCUACGUCCGCUAGCAUCGCCACUUCCAGUAGUUGACCUUUAGCCCAAAAACUAGGUGAAAAUGAGGCCGUUUUGAUCCGAAUAUGAAUGUCGGGGCUUGCGGACACCUGGAUGACACGACACAAGCAGUAUGGAGGCAUGUAUUCUUGUUUCUGUUGUUUUAUUACGUCUGAAGAAGAGGUCGCCUUGGCUGAAACAUUGCUUACCCCUGAGACUCCUACAGUGUUUUGUGGACCCAAGCACUUCACCCACUCCUCCAUUGGGAUAGUGGUGAGUAGAUGAUGAGUACAAUUUUCUUUUUUCGGUGAACUAUCCCUUUAAACUUUUAAUUGUUCUAAAAAAUUUGAAAUGGUAGAGAAUAGAGUGUAGUUUAGGCCACUCCCGCUGCUGAUACACUUCAAGGAAGUAAAAUGUGGAACUGCAUCUGACUGACAAAAGAAAGCUCUCACACAAGGGGAGCUGUCAGGUCACUGCUACAGAGAGACAGACAUAGACAGAAGAACUUUGUCAAACUCAGCUCUUUGAUACACUCGUACAUAACUCAGAAUCAGAAAAGGUCUGCUGGGUAAUGGCUGCUCUCAGGGUUUUUCUCCCUCUCGCCAUCUGCCUCCUGCUGGGGCAUCAGACGUUCGCCCAAAAUGACGCUCCCUGCCAGAAGUCCAAGCGGAACAACGAAUUCAACACCUUCGAAGAGCGCCACAUUAGCGAUGAGUUGCCCAGCGCAGACGACCUGAACAAAUGGAAGGAGUACAUCAAGAAUAAAGGCAACUGUAAAAGACCUAUUCAGUCUUUCCUUCUUCGUAAAGAUCUAGACAAGGUGAAGGCUGUGUGCAGGGAUGCAGGCAAGAAGAUGUACAAUAAUAACCUGUGCAUCAGCAACCAGCCUUUCACUUUUUUCACUGUGACAAGCGAGAUAGGCACCUGCAACAUCUGGAGUGUAUCUAAGGAAAACAAAUCUCUGAUUCUGGGCUGUAAUACACUGGCGGAUGAGUGUCUGCCUGUGCAUUUUGAGAGAAACCCUCAAAAUCGAGGGCCCCAUAAAUGCGCAGAAAGCUGCCAGGCCCCUUAGAGUAGAGACCACACACGCAGCUUUAAAAUGUCAGGGCUCCAAUAGUUCCUCUUUAAAUUUGAGGAACAUGAGACGACAACAGAGUUUCUAUUCGGGGCAUUUGGGCCAAAACUAUUACAAGUACUGAAAUUAAAUUUGAAGAAUUUAAAGAUUUUAAACAACCAAUAUGUAAACCAUUUUUUUUGACAGGACUUUUUUAUAAAUGUAUUUGUUACUGUAUUAUAUUUCAUGCUAUAACAUGCUUGUACCUGUGUAUCUGUAAGUUGUGCAUGAACUAUCUUUUAGUGAUAUGUUUUAGAGGAUUGAUGCUCCAGUGGCAUUCAAUUCAGUUUUAGUUUUAGGAUUUGGGAUGACCGACUGCAUGCGUAGUGUGUAUUAAAGGGAAUCAAUCACAUUUCCAUACCAAAGGGAUGUAUUUGAUUAUAUAUGUGUGUAGUAUAUUAAUAAAGAGAAUUCACAAGAAUUUGUCUACAGUCAUUUCCAACGUGGUUUGUUUCGCCUUUGCUGAAACCCUGUUUACUACUGAGACUUCUAAAGUGUUUUGUGAACUCAAACACUUCACCCCCCCCCCCCUUCCAUGGGUCUAGUGGUGAGUAGAUAGAGUAAAUGUUAAUUUUUCAGUGAACUUCCCCUUUAAACUGUCCUUAAAAAACUUGAGAAUAAAUAUAAUUUAGGCCACUCCCGCUGGUGACACAACACGAGGAAGUGAAAUGUGGAACUGCAUCUGAAGUACAGAAGAAAGUUCUCAAACAACUGGAGCUUUCAGGUCACUCCUAUCUCACAUGAGCCUCCACGUCUGUUAACAUAAGGUAGGGAAGCUGUGAGACAGCUGUAUGCUACAGUCCUGCUACAGACAGAGACAGACAGAGACAGACAGACAGAAGAAUUUUGUCAAACUCAGCUCUUUGACACACUCGUAUAUAACUCAGAAUCAGAAAAAGUCUGCUGGGUAAUGGCUGCUCUCAGGGUUUUUCUCCCUCUCGCCAUCAGCCUCCUGCUGGGGCAUCAGAUGUUCGCCCAAAAUGACGCUCCCUGCCAGAAGUCCAAGUGGAACAACGGCUUCAACACCUCCGUCAAGCGCCACAUUCGCGCCGGGUUGCCCAACACUCGAGACCGAAACGAUUGGGAAAGGUACAUCAGGAAUAACGGCGACUGUGACAGACCCACGCAGUCUUUCCUUCGUCGAGAGGAGCUGGACAGGGUGAAGGCCGUGUGCACGGAUGCAGGCGGGAAGACGUACAUGAGGAACCUGUGCAUCAGCAACCAGCCUUUCACUUUUUUCACAGUGAGGAUCAAGGAAGGCACCUGCAGCAUCAGGAGCAUAAGCCGGGAAAACAAACAUCUGAUUCUGGCCUGUGAUAGGCUGGGGAAUCAGUGUCUGCCUGUGCAUUUUGAGGGAAACCCUGGAAAUCAAAGGCCCAAUAACAACGCAGAAAGCUGCCAGGCCCCUUAGAGUAAAUGCCACGCAGGCAGCUUUAUAAUGUAAUGGCUCCAAUAGUUCCUCUUUUAGUUUGAGGAACAUGAAACAACAACAGAGUUUCUAUUUAUGGCAUUUGAGCAAAACCAUAACAAGUACUGAAAUUAAAUUUGAAGAAUUUAAGGUUUUAAACAAUCAAUAUGUAAACCAUUUUUUUUACAGGAUUUUUUUUAUACAUCUAUUUGUUACUUAUUUUAUAUUCAAUACUAUAACAUGCUUGUGCCUGUGUAUCUGUAAGUUGUUAAUGAACUAUAUUUAAGUGAUAUAUUUUAGAGGAUUGAUGCUGCAGUGGCGUUUCAUUUAGUUUCAGGAUUUGCGAUGACCGACUGCAUGAGUAGUGUGUAUUAAAGGGAAUCAAUCACAUUUCCAUACCAAAGGGAUUUUUUUUUUAUUAUAUAUGUGUGCGGAAUAUUAAUAAAGUGAAUUCAGAAGAAA